UCCCUCUCACUCUGAGUCGCACGCACCCCGUCCCCUUCCUGCCCGCAAAACUACUCUUCAAAGACUUCCUUCCGGGCACCGCGAAGCCGGCGUGCUCAGCAUUCGGAGAGGCAGCGGCGUUCACCUUCAUCCAGGACAACAAAACUGCCAUUUCCGAAGAGAAAGGAAACGGCUCGCGGCUUCUGGGGUUCCCAGGCGCGGGCCUGCGAGGGAGGCCGGGAGCCGAGUGGCCACGCCCAGAACCCCGAGCCCGCCCCCGCGCCAGCCAGCCCGGCCCCGCACGCGACGCCCCCUCCAGGUCCCGCUCCUACGCCCUAUUUGGUCAUUCGGGGGGCAAGUGGCGGGAGGGGGAGACGUGAGCGGCCGAAGGGGAAGCGGAGCCGGCGCCGGCUGCACAGAGGAGCCGCUCUCGCCGCCGCCACCUCGGCUGGGAACCCACGAGGCCGCCGCAUCCUGCCCUUGGAACAAUGGGGCUCGGCGCGCGAGGUGCCUGGGCCGCGCUGUUCCUGGGAACGCUGCAGGUGCUAGCGCUGCUGGGGGCCGCCCAUGAAAGCGCACCCAUGGCGGCAUCUGCAAACAUAGAGAAUUCUGGGCCUCCACACAACUCCAGUGCUAACUCAACAGGUGAGUUUUAAAAGAUUAAAAAAACAAAUUUUCAUUUGUCUAGGGUACAUGAAGUAAUAACAGCCAGGGAAGUAGGCGUAAGCUGAUUCACUGACCUGUUUUAACCCUGAGUUCUUCACCCAUGAAUCGCUAUGACCUGCCCUAGUGCCCUAUAGUAGACAUCAGUAAGUGAUAGUUCGCUGGAUUAGUCUUUCUCAGUCUUGUAAAGAUGUGAAUAAACUCUAAAACAAAAAGCGUAUCAGAAUUUCAUGUUACAAAUUUUUGAAGCACAUUUUUAGAUGUGGGGGUUUUGUAGUUUGCCUGUAGAUAUGAAAUGUCGGUACAGAAGUCUGCAGGUCUUGCUGAUGAAACAAAUCACUCUAAACUAGUCAGCCGUGGCAGCCUUAAUAUACCUCUGCUGACUCUAAGGAGACCCUACUUACAUUUCACCCAUUAGGCAGACUCAACCCAAACACUUGGUGAGGCCCUUACCCUGUGAUUUUAGUUUCGGACAAAGCCUUGGGCCUCUGAGUUCACUAGCAUGGAAAGAUACAAGAACCAGGCUGAUGUCAUCAAUAUCAGUAGUAAAUCAUCAAGGUGUGUUUCUUGUAAACAAUUUUUAAGUUAUCUUCUCACUGCCCUUAAUCUUCACAGUUGACUGAGUUGGAAACUAGAAAAAGGUAUGCCAAUCCUGUCGCUAACUUGUUUACUUUUAUUCAGAGAAUAUUGACUCUAAUGAGCUAGUACAUUCUAGGUUCUAAGAAUACAAAAUGGACCAAGCCUUAACUUCUAGGGGUUUUUGCUUUUUGUUUUUUAUUUAUUGGCAAAAUAUACAUGACAUAAAAUGUAUAACCAUUUUUUUCAGUGUAAAGCUCAGUGGCGCUAAGUACAUUCAUGCUGCUUUGCAACUUGCUGGAGUUUUUAUUUCUGUGCAGCAUCCCAGUGUUUCACUUAGUUUAUGUUCUUGGUUUAUUGCUGUUCUUUCUUUCAUUAUCUCUGCCUUUUCAACUGGUGUCUGGUGGUACAUACUCAGGACAUACUUUUAUUCUAGUUUUAGUAAUUCUACAGGAAACAUUUUCAUUGAGAGGAAAGAAGUCUAGAUGGAUUACUCCAAAAUGUAGUAGUGGUUAUCAUUGGGUAGUUGUGAGAGGGUCUUAGUUAUUAAAAAAAAUUUGAUUAUACUAUUAGGUACCUUUUCCUUUUGUCCUUUAUUGAAUCUAAUUCUGCACUAAACUUUUAACCUCGGGUAAACAAAGGAGGUAGAAGAAACAUAAAGACAGUAGUAUUAGCAAUAGACACCAUUUAUUGAAUGCAUACAACUUACAAGAUACUCCUCAUACAUUUACUAAUCUAACCACGGUGAGGGGGGUGUCCUUUCUGGUUUACACAUGGGGAAAUUGAAACUCAAGAGUGGUUAGGAAAUGCCCAAGAUCACGUGACACUAAGUGUCACAUUCAGGAUUUGAAACCUAGUUGUAUUCUAAAACCUAUGUCUCUUUAUCACACUGUCUGAAAUGGGUUAUGGCCUUACUUUUAAAAAGUGCUUUUCACUGUGAAUGAUUAUUAAAAAUCAACUCAGUACUUUGAGGGCAGCUCCAGAGUCAGUGGGAUGAUUUCAAAUGCCCCUUCUAGCACAGGGAAAUUUUUUGAGAAGAAAAGCAUUGCCUCAAAUUUUUCUAGAAGGAGAACAGGUAAUACAACUAUUCAAAAUGUUUUUGCACAAUGUGUUAUACUUCUCCUAACUGUUGCAUUCCUCUUUGUAUCUUGAAAACACUUUUGAAACAUGUUAAGUUUGUGUAUUUUUACGGGAUGGAUGCUUAACUGUGUUUAGUUACCUAGACCAUUGUUGAAGCUUUGUUUCUUUGAACAUACUGUUUACCAAUUUAUUUGGUGCUAUUUAUUUAGUGCACUUUCUGUGGCACCAUAUUUCCUCUCACUAGGAAAAUAGCAUGUUUGGCAAAUUCCAUUAUGAUGUGUAUUCCAGGAAUGUACUGUCGGAAAAAGCGGAGACUGCCUGCAGUACUACUUAGAAUGUUGGGUGUCUAUCACUUUUAUAGGACUCACCACGUUGGAGUUUCAGAGAAUCUUUUUUUCUCUUGUUUUGGUCUCCAUCUAAGUUCCUUGAGAGUGAAAUCUAUGAUUUAUUCGUUCUGACAUCUCACUCUAUGCCUGGUGCAUAGUAGGUAUGCAGAAUAUGUAUGUUUUUGGUUGGUUGAACUCAAUUGUGGAACGAAAUACAUAUUUUGUAAUUGCUGACUUGCCUUGUCAAAACACUAUUAUAUACAUUUUGCAGAUAUGUACUGGUUUGUGCUCCAGUCCUACCCAUUAUUACAGCUGUUCUCUGUUUAUACAGUAACAUAGGUACUUAAAGUCAAACAACAGGAAUGGAGGUUGCUUUCCAGUGUACCACUCAGUUACAUAUAACAGUUCUUUUAUGUCCCCAAUCAUUAUUUGAAGACAGCUAUACUUUUGACAUUCUUGUCUGCAGGAACUUGUUUGACACACUUUCAUCUUACAGAGAAAAUAAUUUCCGCUUAUUUCAUUUGUAGUCAGAGUAUUUAUAUUUUAGAUUCUGUGGAUGGAUGAAUUUACACUUUAUAGUACAAGGAAGACACAUGCCCAGAUUAUUUUUCAUAAUGGGUUUGGGCAAGGAUGUAAGGAAAUGUGGCAUGGUCUAGAUGGGAGUGCAGAUAUCAUCAGUAACUAGAACAGCAGCUCAGUAUCAUUCAGGAUACAGCUGUCUCCUUGAUCACCUAGCAUUGAUGCUUCCCAACGAAGAGGGAUCUGAGAGGAUUGGGUUACCAUCAUCCAAUCUGAAGCUCUUUGCUUGGACAUAACUUGCACCAACUCCUUUCCAAAGCCGUUUCUCUCUUAAUCAUGUAUGUUCCAUCUAUUAUGAUUGCUAUUGGUUUGGUUACUCAUCCUUGGCAGAGUCAUUUGGGCCACUCUAGUGGGGUUAGUUUUUUCCAUAGACAUAGCAGGGAUGGGUAGUUGUGAGAGGGUCUUAUUUUGAAAAUAUUUUAUUACACUAUUAGGUACCUUUUCCUUUUAUCCUUUGUUGAAUCUAAUUCUGCACUACUGAACUUGUAACCACAAUUUUGAGCAUUUGGACCUGUCUUGCAUUUAGAUUUCUACAGAAGAAAGCAGUAGAAAUUUGGGAACAGCUUAUUCUGUAUUCCAAUUUUUACCCCUAAUUGCAACAAUGAAAGUCCUACUGAAGUGGAAAGAAUUUAUCAGAUAUAUAAUCCCGUAUGUCACACUACCUUCUUCUAUUUAUUUUAGAUAAAAUGUUUUAUGUGUGAAGAGAAUAUUAGAUGGAAACUUUCUGUGAGUUUGUAAGUCAAUCAAAGAUAGGAACCAGUUGGCCUGAUGGUGAUACCGAUGAUUGAUUGAUUGAUUGAUAAAAAUGGUGAUA